rnacentral:rRNA from 1 species
ACUAAGCGUACACGGUGGAUGCCCUGGCAGUCAGAGGCGAUGAAGGACGUGCUAAUCUGCGAUAAGCGUCGGUAAGGUGAUAUGAACCGUUAUAACCGGCGAUUUCCGAAUGGGGAAACCCAGUGUGUUUCGACACACUAUCAUUAACUGAAUCCAUAGGUUAAUGAGGCGAACCGGGGGAACUGAAACAUCUAAGUACCCCGAGGAAAAGAAAUCAACCGAGAUUCCCCCAGUAGCGGCGAGCGAACGGGGAGCAGCCCAGAGUCUGAAUCAGUGUGUGUGUUAGUGGAAGCGUCUGGAAAGGCGCGCGAUACAGGGUGACAGCCCCGUACACAAAAAUGCACAUACUGUGAGCUCGAUGAGUAGGGCGGGACACGUGGUAUCCUGUCUGAAUAUGGGGGGACCAUCCUCCAAGGCUAAAUACUCCUGACUGACCGAUAGUGAACCAGUACCGUGAGGGAAAGGCGAAAAGAACCCCGGCGAGGGGAGUGAAAAAGAACCUGAAACCGUGUACGUACAAGCAGUGGGAGCCUCUUUUAUGGGGUGACUGCGUACCUUUUGUAUAAUGGGUCAGCGACUUAUAUUCUGUAGCAAGGUUAACCGAAUAGGGGAGCCGAAGGGAAACCGAGUCUUAACUGGGCGUUAAGUUGCAGGGUAUAGACCCGAAACCCGGUGAUCUAGCCAUGGGCAGGUUGAAGGUUGGGUAACACUAACUGGAGGACCGAACCGACUAAUGUUGAAAAAUUAGCGGAUGACUUGUGGCUGGGGGUGAAAGGCCAAUCAAACCGGGAGAUAGCUGGUUCUCCCCGAAAGCUAUUUAGGUAGCGCCUCGUGAAUUCAUCUCCGGGGGUAGAGCACUGUUUCGGCAAGGGGGUCAUCCCGACUUACCAACCCGAUGCAAACUGCGAAUACCGGAGAAUGUUAUCACGGGAGACACACGGCGGGUGCUAACGUCCGUCGUGAAGAGGGAAACAACCCAGACCGCCAGCUAAGGUCCCAAAGUCAUGGUUAAGUGGGAAACGAUGUGGGAAGGCCCAGACAGCCAGGAUGUUGGCUUAGAAGCAGCCAUCAUUUAAAGAAAGCGUAAUAGCUCACUGGUCGAGUCGGCCUGCGCGGAAGAUGUAACGGGGCUAAACCAUGCACCGAAGCUGCGGCAGCGACGCUUAUGCGUUGUUGGGUAGGGGAGCGUUCUGUAAGCCUGUGAAGGUGUGCUGUGAGGCAUGCUGGAGGUAUCAGAAGUGCGAAUGCUGACAUAAGUAACGAUAAAGCGGGUGAAAAGCCCGCUCGCCGGAAGACCAAGGGUUCCUGUCCAACGUUAAUCGGGGCAGGGUGAGUCGACCCCUAAGGCGAGGCCGAAAGGCGUAGUCGAUGGGAAACAGGUUAAUAUUCCUGUACUUGGUGUUACUGCGAAGGGGGGACGGAGAAGGCUAUGUUGGCCGGGCGACGGUUGUCCCGGUUUAAGCGUGUAGGCUGGUUUUCCAGGCAAAUCCGGAAAAUCAAGGCUGAGGCGUGAUGACGAGGCACUACGGUGCUGAAGCAACAAAUGCCCUGCUUCCAGGAAAAGCCUCUAAGCAUCAGGUAACAUCAAAUCGUACCCCAAACCGACACAGGUGGUCAGGUAGAGAAUACCAAGGCGCUUGAGAGAACUCGGGUGAAGGAACUAGGCAAAAUGGUGCCGUAACUUCGGGAGAAGGCACGCUGAUAUGUAGGUGAAGUCCCUCGCGGAUGGAGCUGAAAUCAGUCGAAGAUACCAGCUGGCUGCAACUGUUUAUUAAAAACACAGCACUGUGCAAACACGAAAGUGGACGUAUACGGUGUGACGCCUGCCCGGUGCCGGAAGGUUAAUUGAUGGGGUCAGCGCAAGCGAAGCUCUUGAUCGAAGCCCCGGUAAACGGCGGCCGUAACUAUAACGGUCCUAAGGUAGCGAAAUUCCUUGUCGGGUAAGUUCCGACCUGCACGAAUGGCGUAAUGAUGGCCAGGCUGUCUCCACCCGAGACUCAGUGAAAUUGAACUCGCUGUGAAGAUGCAGUGUACCCGCGGCAAGACGGAAAGACCCCGUGAACCUUUACUAUAGCUUGACACUGAACAUUGAGCCUUGAUGUGUAGGAUAGGUGGGAGGCUUUGAAGUGUGGACGCCAGUCUGCAUGGAGCCGACCUUGAAAUACCACCCUUUAAUGUUUGAUGUUCUAACGUUGACCCGUAAUCCGGGUUGCGGACAGUGUCUGGUGGGUAGUUUGACUGGGGCGGUCUCCUCCUAAAGAGUAACGGAGGAGCACGAAGGUUGGCUAAUCCUGGUCGGACAUCAGGAGGUUAGUGCAAUGGCAUAAGCCAGCUUGACUGCGAGCGUGACGGCGCGAGCAGGUGCGAAAGCAGGUCAUAGUGAUCCGGUGGUUCUGAAUGGAAGGGCCAUCGCUCAACGGAUAAAAGGUACUCCGGGGAUAACAGGCUGAUACCGCCCAAGAGUUCAUAUCGACGGCGGUGUUUGGCACCUCGAUGUCGGCUCAUCACAUCCUGGGGCUGAAGUAGGUCCCAAGGGUAUGGCUGUUCGCCAUUUAAAGUGGUACGCGAGCUGGGUUUAGAACGUCGUGAGACAGUUCGGUCCCUAUCUGCCGUGGGCGCUGGAGAACUGAGGGGGGCUGCUCCUAGUACGAGAGGACCGGAGUGGACGCAUCACUGGUGUUCGGGUUGUCAUGCCAAUGGCACUGCCCGGUAGCUAAAUGCGGAAGAGAUAAGUGCUGAAAGCAUCUAAGCACGAAACUUGCCCCGAGAUGAGUUCUCCCUGACCCUUUAAGGGUCCUGAAGGAACGUUGAAGACGACGACGUUGAUAGGCCGGGUGUGUAAGCGCAGCGAUGCGUUGAGCUAACCGGUACUAAUGAACCGUGAGGCUUAACC